GAUGAAGAACGUAGCGAAAUGCGAUAAGUAAUGUGAAUUGCAGAAUUCAGUGAAUCAUCGAAUCUUUGAACGCACAUUGCGCCCGCCAGUAUUCUGGCGGGCAUGCCUGUUCGAGCGUCAUUACAACCCUCAGGCCCCCGGGCCUGGCGUUGGGGAUCGGCGGAAGCCCCCUGCGGGCACAACGCCGUCCCCCAAAUACAGUGGCGGUCCCGCCGCAGCUUCCAUUGCGUAGUAGCUAACACCUCGCAACUGGAGAGCGGCGCGGCCACGCCGUAAAACACCCAACUUCUGAAUGUUGACCUCGAAUCAGGUAGGAAUACCCGCUGACCUUAAGCAUAUCAAUAAGCGGAGGA
rnacentral:misc_RNA from 1 species